rnacentral:rRNA from 1 species
CAGCAGCCACGGUAAUACGAAGGGUGCAAGCGUUACUCGGAAUUACUGGGCGUAAAGCGUGCGUAGGUGGUGGUUUAAGUCCGUUGUGAAAGCCCUGGGCUCAACCUGGGAAUUGCAGUGGAUACUGGGUCACUAGAGUGUGGUAGAGGAUAGUGGAAUUUCCGGUGUAGCAGUGAAAUGCGUAGAGAUCGGAAGGAACAUCUGUGGCGAAGGCGACUAUCUGGGCCAACACUGACACUGAGGCACGAAAGCGUGGGGAGCAAACAGGAUUAGAUACCCGAGUAGUCCCUGUCUCUUAUAA